rnacentral:lncRNA from 1 species
GCCACCUGGGCUAUCAAUGCCUCCUCCCAUACAGCAACCAAUGCAGUAUUCCAGUUACAAUGCACCUUUGCAUACUGGAGCUCCGAACUUGCCAGGUCCAAACUUGCCAACUUCCAACCUACCAGUUCCAAACUUGCCGACUUCCAACCUACCAGCUUCAAACUUGCCGACUACCAACCUACCAGCUUCAAACUUGCCGACUACCAACCUACUAGCUUCAAACUUGCCAGUUCCCUUACCCGAUAUUUCAUCUCCUUUGCUUUCUGCUAGUACUGGUUCCCUUAAUUUAGCAUCCACUUCUUCAGCACCAUCAACUUUGCCUGCAACUUUA